GUGAGGAAUAUUGGUCAAUGGGCGCAAGCCUGAACCAGCCAUGCCGCGUGCAGGAAGACGGUCCUAUGGAUUGUAAACUGCUUUUAUUUGGGAAUAAAUUCCGGUACGUGUACCGGCCUGAAGGUACCAAAUGAAUAAGCACCGGCUAACUCCGUGCCAGCAGCCGCGGUAAUACGGAGGGUGCAAGCGUUAUCCGGAAUCAUGGGGUUUAAAGGGUCCGCAGGCGGUCUUAUAAGUCAGUGGUGAAAGCCUACAGCUCAACUGUAGAACUGCCAUUGAUACUGUAGGACUUGAAUUCGGUCGAAGUGGGCGGAAUGUGACAUGUAGCGGUGAAAUGCUUAGAUAUGUCACAGAACACCGAUAGCGAAGGCAGCUCACUAGGUCUGGAUUGACGCUCAGGGACGAAAGCGUGGGGAGCAAACAGGAUUAGAAACCCGUGUAGUCC
rnacentral:rRNA from 1 species